rnacentral:lncRNA from 1 species
ACUCACUCCUCCUCCGCCUCCAGCGCCACCUCGUAUCUCCUCAUUCCCGACAUGUCCUGGGCUCCGAACGUCUCCUGGGGAGCGGCAUGAUUGAAUCAGGGAUUCCCUAGCCCCAGGUCCCCUUCUCCGUCAUUCUCAGGACGAGGCUGCCCAGUUCUCAGAAAAAUGUGAAAAGAGAGACUGGCCUAGCCUCCCAGCCUACAUCUUUCUCCCAUCCUGGAUGUUUCCUGCCCUUGAAUGUUGGACUCCAAGUUCUUCAGUUUUGGAACUCGGACUGUCUCUCCUUGCUCCUCAGCCUGCAGACGGCCUAUUGUGGGACCUUGUGAUCGUGUUGUUGUGGUGGUAUUACUACUACUCAGCAAGAUUCUGGUUUUACUUCUCAUCUUGGGAGUUACCAUCAAGACGUUAGGUAUGGCUGUGUGACCCACUUUGGCCAAUGAAAUGUGAACAGAAAUGGCAUAUGUCACUUGUGGACAAAAACAUUUAAGCAAGAAUUUCCCUUGCUGUCUUCCUUGACUGGAGCGACCAUGGAAGCCUGUGUUGAGAUGAAGAGGCUGCCAACAGAUCAAAACACUUGAAAACUUGAGCAGCCACAUGGACUACAACUGUGCUGGAGACUUGCCUGGACCCACAGCAGGCUUGGUAUGCAUGGGGAAUAGAAUUUUGUUGUAUUACACUCCUCAGAUUUGGAUGUCAUUUGUUAUUACAGCAUUACCUAGCCUAUUCUGAC